rnacentral:lncRNA from 1 species
GGGAGGGCUGCUGCCGGUGGAGAUAGAGAUGGAGAUGGAUACCGACGCGUCGUCGUAUCCGCGGGAAAGCAGCGGAAGCUGGUGUUGGUGAAGGCAGCCGUGACGAAGGCGACGGUGGACGUCGUGUAAAGCGGGCUGGCCACGGCGCCAUCGACGAGCCCGGCGUGGAAGGCGGUGGACGUGGUUGUCCAGUACGUCGUGCUGCAGCAUAACCUCACAGACAUGUGGUCGUUGGUCA